rnacentral:rRNA from 1 species
AGUGAACGCUGGCGGCAGGCCUAACACAUGCAAGUUCGAACGGCAGCACGGCAGUAGCAAUACUGUGGGUGGCGAGUGGCGGACGGGUGAGGAAUACAUCGGGGUCUACCCUGUUGUGGGGGGAUAACGUAGGGAAACUUACGCUAAUACCGCAUAAGAACUGAGGUUGAAAGCGGCGGACCGCAAGGCGUCGCGCGAUUGGAUGAACCGAUGUCCGAUUAGCUAGUUGGCGGGUAAAGGCCCACCAAGGCGACGAUCGGUAGCUGGUCUGAGAGGACGACCAGCCACACUGGAACUGAGACACGGUCCAGACUCCUACGGGAGGCAGCAGUGGGGAAUAUUGGGACAAUGGGCGCAAGCCUGAUCCAGCCAUGCCGCGUGGGUGAAGAAGG